GAGGUGUGCUCAGAGCAGGGAGCCUGAAGAAUGGCCCCUCUGUGUACAAAACACCCAACAGGAAUUCGGGUUCAUUGUGACAAGGGGCCCACAACUUGCGGCCUUCCGAUGAACAAAUGCCCUACACGU
ensembl:snoRNA small nucleolar RNA SNORA11